UGGGGAAUAUUGCGCAAUGCGCGAAAGCGUGACGCAGCAACGCCGCGUGAAGGAUGAAGUAUUUCGGUAUGUAAACUUCGAAAGAAUAGGAAGAAUAAAUGACGGUACUAUUUAUAAGGUCCGGCUAACUACGUGCCAGCAGCCGCGGUAAUACGUAGGGACCAAGCGUUGUUCGGAUUUACUGGGCGUAAAGGGCGCGUAGGCGGCAAUUCAAGUCAUCUGUGAAAUCUCCGGGCUUAACUCGGAACGGUCAGAUGAUACUGCUUUGCUAGAGUGCAGAAGGGGCAAUCGGAAUUCUUGGUGUAGCGGUGAAAUGCGUAGAUAUCAAGAGGAACACCUGAGGUGAAGACGGGUUGCUGGGCUGACACUGACGCUGAGGCGCGAAAGCCAGGGGAGCAAACGGGAUUAGAUACCCCCGUAGUCCCUGAGCGGGCUGGCAAGGCGCAU
rnacentral:rRNA from 1 species